rnacentral:rRNA from 1 species
CUGCUGGUAAAGGUCAUUACGUAUUACUUUACUUACGCGGAGGAAAAGAAACCAACAGGGAUUGCCUCAGUAACGGCGAGUGAAGCGGAAACAGCUCAAAUUUGAAAUCUGGCUCUCGGGCCCGAGUUGUAAUUUGUAGAGGAUGCUUUGGGUGCGGUGCCUUCCGAGUUCCCUGGAACGGGACGCCAUAGAGGGUGAGAGCCCCGUCUGGUUGGACGCCAAUCCUCUGUAAAGCUCCUUCGACGAGUCGAGUAGUUUGGGAAUGCUGCUCUAAAUGGGAGGUAUAUGUCUUCUAAAGCUAAAUACCGGCCAGAGACCGAUAGCGCACAAGUAGAGUGAUCGAAAGAUGAAAAGAACUUUGAAAAGAGAGUUAAAAAGUACGUGAAAUUGUUGAAAGGGAAGCGCUUGUGACCAGACUUGGGCUUGGUUGAUCAUCCAGGGUUCUCCCUGGUGCACUCUUCCGGCCCAGGCCAGCAUCAGUUCGCCCCGGGGGAAAAAGGCUUCGGGAAUGUGGCUCUCUCCGGGGAGUGUUAUAGCCCGCUGCGUAAUACCCUGUGGCGGACUGAGGUUCGCGCAUUCGCAAGGAUGCUGGCGUAAUGGUCAUCAGUGACCCGUCUUGAAACACGGACCAAGGAGUCGUCUUCGUAUGCGAGUGUUCGGGUGUCAAACCCCUACGCGAAAUGAAAGUGAACGCAGGUGAGAGCUUCGGCGCAUCAUCGACCGAUCCUGAUGUUUUCGGAUGGAUUUGAGUAAGAGCAUACGGGGCCGGACCCGAAAGAAGGUGAACUAUGCCUGUGUAGGGUGAAGCCAGAGGAAACUCUGGUGGAGGCUCGCAGCGGUUCUGACGUGCAAAUCGAUCGUCAAACAUGGGCAUGGGGGCGAAAGACUAAUCGAACCUUCUAGUAGCUGGUUUCCGCCGAAGUUUCCCUCAGGAUAGCAGUGUUGAACUCAGUUUUAUGAGGUAAAGCGAAUUAUUAGGGACUCGGGGG